AUCCAGCUGCAGUGAAGAUAAAUAUUUUACAGUUCACAGUUUCGGGGUGAUGAUGGAAGUUUUACUGCAUUUAGUUUUGCUUUUGAUCAUUUCAUCUGUUAGUGGUCAGUCUUUGACCUCCUCAGAUUCUGUGGUGAAAAAGCCUGGAGAAUCAGUGACUCUGUCCUGCACUGUGUCUGGAUUCUCAAUGAGCAGCUAUUACAUGCACUGGAUCCGUCAGAAACCAGGGAAAGCACUGGAGUGGAUUGGAUAUAUAGACACUGGCUCAAGUGCAUAUUAUGCUCAGUCUCUACAGGGACAGUUCUCCAUCACCAAAGACACCAUCAAAAACAUGCUGCAUUUAGAGGUGAAAAGCCUGAAGACUGAAGACACAGCUGUUUAUUACUGUGCUAGAGACUCACAGUUACUCAAAAGACUGCAGGACCUGAACAAAAACUAUUCAUGCAGCAGAUCACGGAAGAAAGUGACAAUGAUGAAAGUGACGAUGACAACUAUUGUUUAUGUACAAGAUAAGCAAGAAAAGGCCAAGCUUGGGGUUUUAUUUCUAUUUUUUACUGACUUUCUUUGUACUGAUGUAAAAUCAGCUGGGGAUGGAAAAUUCUAAUUAAUUGCACCUUCUAUAAACCCUCCAUAUUUAACUUCUCAGUACU